rnacentral:tRNA from 1 species
GGGCCAUUAGCUCAGUUGGUAGAGCAGGAGACUCUUAAUCUCUUGGUCGAGUGUUCGAGUCACUCAUGGCCCACCA